rnacentral:rRNA from 1 species
GCUGUGAAGAUGCAGUGUAUCCGCGGCUAGACGGUAAAGACCCCGUGAACCUUUACUGUAGCUUUGCACUGGACUUUGAGCCUGCUUGUGUAGGAUAGGUGGGAGGCUUUGAAGCGUGGACGCCAGUUCGCGUGGAGCCAUCCUUGAAAUACCACCCUGGCAUGCUUGAGGUUCUAACUCUGGUCCGUCAUCCGGAUCGAGGACAGUGUAUGGUGGGCAGUUUGACUGGGGCGGUCUCCUCCUAAAGAGUAACGGAGGAGUACGAAGGUGCGCUCAGACCGGUCGGAAAUCGGUCGCAGAGUAUAAAGGCAAA